rnacentral:snRNA from 1 species
UGCCCGGACCCUGUCGCAC